AAAGACCCUGCAAUUUGGCAUACUUUUGUCUUGGUGUUAAUUUAAUCUCGAAUUUCAGUACUUCACCAUUAUCCAAAUCAAGAUAAUUUCCCUUACUCUAGAAAAUUCCUUCCUGCUCCUUAUUCAUCAGUCCCUGCCUGCCAUGUCCGCUGAUGCUGGUUUCUAUCACUAUAGAUUCAUUUUACCUUCUGACUCCUAUUUUUCAAGUGAAAACAUCCUUUUAUUUGACUGGGUCAGAUUCAAGCACAUGCAUGUUAUUAUUUUGAAAAUGUCAUUGUGUUGUGCCUUAAAAGAUCUUAAUUCUGAAAACUUUCUUUUGCAGAAGAGGAAAAGAAAGCCAAGAAACCUUCCUCGGGACUGACAGUGGAAUUAGAACGAGACAGCUCGGAGGGUGAGUUAUCAUGCGUAAGGAGCUUCGGGGUGUCCACUCUGAGUUUGCAAAUAAUUUGCAUUUCUUAGGGAUUCUCCAGUGAUGUCACUGCAGCUAGCUGGCUUGGGCACCAGACUUUGAGAAUCACUAUUUUAGCCAAAUUCAGUUCUUGUAGGUACACACUCCAGAUAUUUUCAAAGGACUUGGCAAGCAUUCUUUUUUUUUUUUUUUUUUUUUUU